rnacentral:siRNA from 1 species
AUCCUCGCUGUCGGAUGGGACCAC